GAUGAACGCUGGCGGCGUGCCUAAUACAUGCCAGUCGAGCGAACGGACGAGAAGCUUGCUUCUCUGAUGUUAGCGGCGGACGGGUGAGUAACACGUGGAUAACCUACCUAUAAGACUGGGAUAACUUCGGGAAACCGGAGCUAAUACCGGAUAAUAUUUUGAACCGCAUGGAUCAAAAGUGAAAGACGGUCUUGCUGUCACUUAUAGAUGGAUCCGCGCUGCAUUAGCUAGUUGGUAAGGUAACGGUUUACCAAGGCAACGAUGCAUAGCCGACCUGAGAGGGUGAUCGGCCACACUGGAACUGAGACACGGUCCAGACUCCUACGGGAGGCAGCAGUAGGGAAUCUUCCGCAAUGGGCGAAAGCCUGACGGAGCAACGCCGCGUGAGUGAUGAAGGUCUUCGGAUCGUAAAACCCUGUUAUUAGGGAAGAACAUAUGUGUAAGUAACUGUGCACAUCUUGACGGUACCUAAUCAGAAAGCCACGGCUAACUACGUG
rnacentral:rRNA from 1 species